rnacentral:lncRNA from 1 species
UCUCCUUCUUUGAUCAACUCAGAUCCUUCCAAUGUCGAAGAUGGACCAAUGGAGGAUGUAGGUGGUGAAAGAAAGUCAGAGAAAUAUCUUUCUUCGAUUUGGAUUUCUCUCGCUUAAUAACCCCAACGCCAGGGGCUAGAACUGUCAUCUAAGAGAGAUAAUUUUCCUCUAAUCUCACAUGCCAACAAGUCGGCAACCCACCCC